AAUCAUCUGCAAUGGACGAAAGUCUGCUGGAGCGACGCCGCUUGAGUGUUGAAGGUUUUCGGAUCGGAAAACUCUGUAGUUAGGGCAGAACAAGUAUCGGAGUAAUAUGCCGGUACCUUGAUGGUAUCUUACCAAAAAUCCCCUGCUAACUACCUGCCAGCCGCCGCGGUAAUACGUAGGGGGCAAGCGUUGUUCGGAAUUAUUGGUAGUAAAAGGCAAGCAGGCGGUUAAUUAAGUCUGAUGUGAAAUCUUGUGGCUGAACCACAAGCGGUCAUUGGAAACAGGAUAACUUGAGUACAGAAGAGGAGAGUAGAAUUCCACGUGUAGCGGUGAAAUGCGUAGAGAUGUGGAGGAACACCAGUGGCGAAGGCGGCUCUCUGGUCUGUAACUGACGCUGAGGUGCGAAAGCGUGGGGAGCGAACA
rnacentral:rRNA from 1 species